rnacentral:rRNA from 1 species
UACGAGGGGGGCAAAUGUUGUUCGGAAUCACUGGGCGUAAAGGGAGCGUAGGCGGGUUCUAAGUCAGGUGUUUAAUCCCGGGGCCCCAACCCCGGACAGGCACUUGAAACUGGGAAUCUUGAAUAGUGGAGAGGUCAGUGGAAUUGGGGGUGUAGCGGUGGAAUGCGUAGAGAUCCCCAAGAACACCAGUUGCGAAGGCGGCUGACUGGACACAUAUUGACGCUGAGGCUCGAAGCAUG